rnacentral:rRNA from 12 species
UUUAGAACGUCGUGAGACAGUUCGGUCCCUAUCUGGUGUGGGCGUUGGAUGAUUGAGAGGGGCUGCUCCUAGUACGAGAGGACCGGAGUGGACGAACCGCUGGUGUUCGGGUUGUCAUGCCAAUGGCAUUGCCCGGUAGCUACGUUCGGAAUCGAUAACCGCUGAAAGCAUCUAAGCGGGAAGCGAGCCUCGAGAUGAGUCAUCCCUGACAGUUUAACUGUCCUAAAGGGUUGUUUAAGACUAAGACGUUGAUAGGCAGGAUGUGGAAGCGUUGUAAGGCGUUGAGCUAACCUGUACUAAUUGCCCGUGAGGCUUAAU